rnacentral:rRNA from 1 species
CCCUGUUGAGCUUGACUCUAGUCUGGCUCUGUGAAGAAUCAUGAGAGGUGUAGCAUAAGUGGGAGGUUUCGGCCGCCAGUGAAAUACCAGCUACUUUCAUCGAUUCCUUACUUAUUCGGUAAGACGGGAAUUGAACUUCAAUGUUCUUGAUUUUGGUGUUAAGGAUAGCCACUUGGUGGUCGUCCGACCCGCGCCGUCGACCGUGUCAGGCGGGGAGUUUGACUGGGGCGGUACAUCUGUCAAAUCGUAACGCAGGUGUCGUAAGGCGAGCUCAGAGAGGACGGAAACCUCUCGUAGAGUAAAAGGGCAAAAGCUCACUUGAUGUUGAUUUUCAGUGGGAAUACAAACCGUGAAAGCGUGGCCUAUGGAUCCUUUUGAAUUAGAAAGUUUCUAGCAAGAGGUGUCAGAAAAGUUACCACAGGGAUAACUGGCUUGUGGCAGCCAAGCGUCCAUAGGGACGUUGCUUUAUGAUCCUUCGAUGUCGGCUCUU